rnacentral:lncRNA from 1 species
AAAUUCUCAGGCAUUAGCUCAGUGUGGCUGAGGCGGGGUGCAGGGAGCUGUGUGAACCCAUUAAUCAUCGCAGGGCAGCUGCCAGCUCGCUGACUUUAAUUGGGGCUUUCUAAUAUUUACGCUGUUUGGAGGGGGUUUUUUUGGCAAUGCUGAUAAAGGAUUUUGUUCCUCUCUCACGAGGAUGUGGAGAGACAGCAGAGGUGUGAGUUAAUUCAAGGUUGCUGAAUGACUUGCUGCUUCUGGGGGAAAUUAUGUUACUCAGCAUUGUUUUCCUUCUGAAAUUGCUGUCUUGGCUGCAUCUCCAAUAGUUUUGCAUAUAUGUCUCUUCCAAUUUCCUGUUCUUUAGACUUCUCCAUCCUGUGACUUCCAGUCCUGGCAUUUUUAUUGCAACCCCAUGGAAGUAAGCAGUCUCAGUGGGCACGUCCUAUUCUUGUGAGGAGGAAGAGGAUGGAAGCACAUCUUAAUGAGGAGAGAAGGCAAGAUGAUGGUGAUGUAUUCUCACCUGAUGGACCCUGCUGAGACAUCGAUUUUGGCCAUGAGGGGGACAUUGCAGGUAAUAUUGCACUUUGCUCUCUAAUCUUCUUUGGUAAAAAGAAGGGCUACAUCCUUUCAGUGAUUUACCUUUCCCCUUGGAACCUUUGCUGAAGUGAUGGCUGGGAAACCCAGCUCUUCCUGCCCUUGCCAGGUCUAUAAAUCAGCCUGUGUUUGGUUAUUCCGAGUCCUUCACCACACAUCCUCUC